CUAGAUGGCCUCUAAAGGUCCCUUCCAACCCAAACCAUUCUAUGACUCUGUAUUUGAAACCAACUGUCUAAAAGCUGUCUUACUAUCUGUGUUACAGGUGAAAAGGUGCUCAGGAAGGGCAUAGUUGCCAAUGGGAAAUAAAUGGCCUCUUUGUCCAUGAUGGAGAGGAAGGUCAUCUAGCUAGACAGUAACUCCAGGGAAAGCUUUGGCUCCUCCCAUUUGGAAAAAGGAGACAUUUUGGCAGACAGUGCUUCUGACAAUGCAGAGCAUACAUUGCUCACAAAAGUACUCGGAUCCCUUCCUCUGCAACUGCAUGAGGUCCCUAUGCUAACUGCAGCAACUGCUUAUAAAACAAACUAUUAAAAUUCAAACCUCUUCCUCACACACUGCGCGUCAACCUGCUCCUCUCCCCCAUGAGCCCCCCAGGGCAAUGCUCUCCUACAGAUUAUCCAAACAUUUGAGCUACGAGGGUGAUGUGGAAAUCAUAUAUUCUAUAAGGAUUUUCCCCUUAAAGGCAAGCUCACAGCGUAAAAGGUCUUCCAGGCUCUGCGGAGGGCUGGCAGGAGUUUCUGAGUGACAGCCAAAAAUAUGUUCUUGCAGCAGUGUUUCCACAUUGAUGGCACUACAACAGAGGCAGCUCCGCUAGAGAUGGAGCAGGCAAACCCACGCUUUGGCAGGAUGGGGAGAUCUGCCUGCCUAGACGUAAGGGUAGCUGUCAGCUUUGCCGUUUUAUUUGUCUUCACCUAAGGCAGUGGUAGGAAUUAUGUUCAUACGGCAAAUAAAAAUAGUCCUAGUAAAAAUAUCCUAGGUCUUUAUCCUCUCACUUUUAUCUUACCCAAGAGUUAUCUGCAUCGCUUUGGAAAGCUGAUACUCCCUGAACACCGUACGAGCCCUGCAUAGUGUUGGGUGCUGGAAAGGCGACUAAUUACUGAUUAGUUACAAGUGCUGCAGAGAGGCGAGGAGGAGAGAAACCCCCUGAAGUUUUCACUGUUUCGGUCUCACUUUAGCUGCCAUGGAUUUAGCACCCUUUUCAGCUGGGGCCAAGAAGAGGUUUCAAAUGACUCGUGCAAAUGGACUAAAGUUUCAGGGCAGCUCAUGCCCGGGAGGACAUUCUCUUCUACCUAGCUAAUUCCCGAAAUAUAAUCGGCAGGCCCCGGCUGAGCCGAGGGAGCCUCUCGCGUGUACGGUGCUUUACCCUGCCGGUUGACCUAGUUGUUAAGGCAGGGAGUCACGCACAAUGCCAAGCCUGUUAAGUGACUGCAGAUUUCUUCGCUCAAACAAGCAAACAAGAAAUUAAAGAAAAGCUUCAGCCGUGUUGAUAAGCUUGUAGGGGCACACAGGGCUUGUUUGUUUGGUUUGGGGUUUGGUUUGGCCUUUCGUUGAACCUGGUGAGGAUGGAAAGCUGCAGUAAGCUUUAGUGCAGCACAGGAGGCCGGAGGAGGCAGACCCACAGCUCCCAGCCAUGCGGGGCUUUGCGAGAGCCUACACAGCAUCGAUCCUGCUCUGUUUGCCAUGUCCUCCGAUGCCCUGGAAGUGUUUGCUCUGCCGUGCUGGUGUCUUAGUCAGAGAGGUAAAAGGAAAGACGGAAACUGUCUGUGUUAUAGCACACCCUGGUCAAAGGCGGCACAAGGUUUCUGCAAGAUGAGCAGCGUCAGUGGCAUUCCCAUGCCUGCCUAGCUGUGAUCUCCAUAUCACUGGACAUUAGAGACACUUUGAAGAACAUUACAGGGACCCGAAUUUCAGAGGAAAAGUGCAUAGCAGUUUGUGAUCAGUUCCCCUGUAAGGACUACAUCGUCCUUAAAUGAUCAGCUAUGAACUCACAAGUCGUGGUCUAAAUCCUUUUCCUAAUUGUCCUAUGCUUGCAAAUACAGCUUGUAUUAGCCAUCUGUGUUUUAGGACUAUGCCAUGUAAGUGGUUUGGGGUGGCAUUUAAAAAUAAUUCCAGUAAUAUUCAGAAAAUUCUUUUCAGCAAUAAAACUUUCUUUUCAGUGUCCAUGAUGCGUAGGAGCUUGUGGUAAUUUAUGGUGAUGCUGGAGAAGCGAGGCUUGCUCCUGGAGGAAGCCCUUGUUUGUAGCCUGUAACAUGGAUAUGCACAAACUGGUUUUAUGUUCUGUUUUAAAAGACUAUUUGUGAGCACUUUAAGAACUGAGGACAGGAUUUACGAUGCACGGAGUGAGAAGACUGUUCUUUGCUCAGCAGUGCUACUGCCCAAAGAGCCAGACACUUCACUGGGUCAUUUGCUGCCCUGACCUUUUUUCAGAAUAUUUUCUUAUUUGAAAUAUAUCUUCAGGCAGAGGGAAGUGGCCCCAUCAUUUUAUUUUAUUAAAAAGAAGCCCCGUGAAUAUCCCUUCUCAGUUUGGCCAUACCUGUGAGGUGAGUGCUGUGUAUACCCCAUGGGACUGGGUAGAGGACUGCAACGUAUGGAUUGGCAGUGGUGCUUUACAUGUAUAACUGCGAUAAGCCAGAGGCAAAUAGAGCUGAUCUGCAUACAAAAUAUUCUCUUAAUGAAAAGGCAGAUGAAGGAAUACAGGUCUUGCUCUGUUACAGCUACAGCUUUCAAGAUACUAAAGAUCACAGGCUCUUUGCACAACAUUUUUUAUGAGAAAUGAAUGCUCUAGAAACCAUUCUUCAUCAUAAAAGAUGCCAGCAUGGAUGGAACUGUGGAAUGAAUCUCCGUGUCACCAGCAAUACAAAGGACCGACACAGAACUGCUUUUUAUUUAUGAUAUAUUACACUGCAUAAACGCUAAUGGGCCAUGGGUGCUGGAGCCAAACCGUCUGGACCGGAUCCAACGACUGCAGGUGUUACCAUGGUAGUGCCUCCACCAGCUUCGAAGCAAAGUCUUCUACUUGAGCAGCUCCACCGUGCUGGCUCAUGUUCAGAGCCUGAGGCCUCGAGUCAGUCCCACAGACCUGCUUUUCCUACGCAACUAAUUAUUAUCUUCCCAUGCCCUUGCAUCACAACUGCACAACCACAACAAAGGUUUGUGCUCUCCAUGGCAGUGCUGUCAACAAAAGGUCUCCUUGCAUGGCUUUUGGGUCAUAUUCUCAGAGAUCUGUAUUCGAACAAGGUCCCCAGGGGAGUGGUCAUGACCCCAAGCCUGUCAAGAAGCGUUUAGACAAUGCUCAUAGGUAUAUGGUUUAACUUUUUGGUUGCCCUGUGUGGAGUCAGGAGUUGGACUCAGUGAUCCUCAUGGGUCCCACCCAAUUCAGAAUAUUGGGUGAUUCUACGAUUCGAGUGUUUUCUACUUUUCCCACUUCCCAAUAUGUGACUACAAGAAUAUUAGUGCAGCAGUUUGGUGAAAACUUUAAGAUCACUGGGUGCAUGAAAUAA